CACUCCUGCGGGAGGCAGCAGUAGGGAAUCUUCCACAAUGGGUGCAAACCUGAUGGAGCAAUGCCGCGUGAGUGAAGAAGGUCUUCGGAUCGUAAAGCUCUGUUGUUAGAGAAGAACACGUGCUAGGUAACUACUAGCGCCUUGACGGUAUCUAACCAGAAAGUCACGGCUAACUACGUGCCAGCAGCCGCGGUAAUACGUAGGUGACAAGCGUUGUCCGGAUUUAUUGGGCGUAAAGGGAGCGCAGGCGGUCUGUUUAGUCUAAUGUGAAAGCCCACGGCUUAACCGUGGAACGGCAUUGGAAACUGACAGACUUGAAUGUAGAAGAGGAAAAUGGAAUUCCAAGUGUAGCGGUGGAAUGCGUAGAUAUUUGGAGGAACGCCAGUGGCGAAGGCGAUUGUCUGGUCUAACAUUGACGCUGAGGCUCGAAAGCGUGGGGAGCGAACAGGAUUAGAAACCCCAGUAGUCC
rnacentral:rRNA from 1 species